rnacentral:lncRNA from 1 species
UUCUACAUGAUUUUGCACCAACUUCAGCACUGGAAUGUGCAAUCCCUACUGUAGAGUCUGCAUGCUGAUUUGCUGAUUCAUUUAUGCCCUUCUUGCGUACAUACUUUCUCUUCACAGGACAGGUAUUUAUGGUUUCUCCAAUAGAAUCUGUAUGUUGAACUGCUGAUUCAUUCAGGCCCUUCUUGCGCACAUACUUUCUCUUCACAGGACGGGUAUUUAUGGUUUCUCCAAUAGAAUCUGUAUGUUGAACUGCUGAUUCAUUCAGGCCCUUCUUGCGCACAUACUUCCUCUUUGCAGAGCUGGGAGGUGUAGUCUCUAUAGCAGAAUCUGUUUGUUGAAUUGCUGGCUCUUUCAAAGCCUUGCGAACAUACUUCCGCUUUUCAGUUGACUUCUCCUUGGGGUCGGUGUUUUUUGUGGUUGCAGCCUUGGGAGUCCUUUUUGGUUUGCCUUCCACAAUCACCUUUGGCCUAUGCUUUCUUCUCUUUGGAGGUUUCUGCAGUGGUGUUUUAUUAAGGUCGAUGCCUUGUUCAUCUGGCCUUGCU